CUGUGUUAAGGGAUACCUUUUAUGUCUUACAUUAUCCAACAUUUUUUUUUUUUGAUUCUUGGAACUAAUGAUAGAAUGCAAGCUAAAUUCUGCAGCUCAGUGCAGGACCUCUAUCAUUUACGCUGCUUAUACCUAGUUAUGCCUGCCAGGUCCUUUGACCAUUCGAAUCGCAAUUUCUCCGAGCUCCAAUUUCAUCAUCAGUAAUAACAUUGCAAACGCGUGAUACCGUCUCAUAAAGACAGUAAGCAAAGGUGUGCCAGAGAAUUAAUUCCUGUAUCCAUUUUCCGUGCUAAAUGAACCAGCUAAUUUUCUGUCGCACUCUCAUAGUGGGUAAAUUUGUCAGGCGAGGACUCAGAUAAUCUAGAGGUCAGGCGGCACUGAUGUAUUAUGUCGAACAGCUGCUCUGUAUUAUCUCCUAUAUGUGGUAAGCAGUGACGGCAAGUUUACGUCUCCAGGUACUGCAAAUUUUAGCCGAUGUAUAGAGAGGUUAUCACCAAGGAUAUCCUGCAUUAGUUAUAGCAUCUCUAUUUUAUCAAACCAAUGAAAUAGUAGCAUAUAGAUACAUACCUUCUGCACAGGUCAAAAUGAAAGACCUUGAUUUGAAGAAUUUUGUCCAAAUCCAAACACAGGCUUUGAUGACUCAAUCAACUUCUGACCCAGAAUCAAAAAGACUUGAUAGUAAUCAAAUUAAAGCUAAUGCUUGAAGUCAAGUAUCUUUGAUUUUGUGACAUUGAGUUGAUUUCAUUGAAAAGGAUUCGUUUCAGUGAAGCGUAGCUCCUUUAAGUGGACACAUAACCAAGACUAACGGGUGAAUGCGUUUGCGUUAACCGGUUUUCCAAUAUAAAGCAUCACAAGUCUACGAAGACAUACAGGCUUUAGGCACCAGUUACAUGAUACACUGAGAAAACACACAUCAACUCCUGAGGAGGUAGGCUGCCUAGCUGCUAGCAAAAUUUUAGUAGAAAGUGGAAUAGCAGAUUCAUUCCCACCGAUUGAGAUCCCCGACACACAUCAUCGUUUUGAGGGAAAGGAUGAUUUUCUGGUGGAAAGUUGCUGAAUCUGAUUUACGAGAAAUAGUAUCUAGGACUCACUAUAGUGGGAUAUCAUCAAUCAUUCAUGAACAAUUACUUGAUUACUUGAAAAGAUCACUAGAUCAGGGCCGCUGGGAAGAAAUGGCAGGUUGAUCCGAGUACUUACUGUGGCAACUAAAUUUAUCAAGGGUGCGGGAAUCAUAAAAGGAUCAUAUAGAAAUGGGUCCAGUCAUCUUCGGCUUUGAUAAAAUAGAAACACGCAUCGAUUAAUCUAUCUUAUUCUUGAUGUUAAAAUUUAAAAUAUUUUAAGUCAUAAUAGC